ensembl:lncRNA
AGAUCCCUCCUUGCAUUGGAGCCAGGAUCUUCCCGACCUCAGAAAGCCCAGUGUUAGCCAAGAGGGAUGCCAACCCAUAGGAGAGAAUAUGCUGGUACUGUCCACCAUCCUGAACCAAAGGCAUUAAAGCUGGCAGAAAAGAAUAUUAAUGGCGAUGAUAAAACCAUGUCACAGAAACGUGGUGGCUCUGUGGGGCAUAAAUUCAUGCAAAAGCACUUUCUGAAGCUGCUGUAGGCUGACAGUGUGCUCCCCCCACACACACUGCAUCUUUGAUUUCAUCAGCAACAAAAGAACAGCCAGCCGGCUCUGCAAGCAAGGUACACUGAGCGUAACAAACCUGACGAGAGAGUGGCUGGCACAACUAGCACAUCUUUACACCCUUCUUGACAACGCAUGGCUGAAGAGGUACCCUUACUGCUCCUGCUAAGGAACAAAGCACAGCGUGAACUUGGCCUUUACAAGACAUCAGAGACUCUACCCAGCAGCUCCAUCUGAAGGGUCCUCAGUUCAUUUUGUCCUCCUCUCACUGGAUUUUGCUCUAAACAAGCG